UACGUAGGGAGCAAGCGUUGUUCGGAUUUACUGGGCGUAAAGGGCGCGUAGGCGGCGCGGUAAGUCACUUGUGAAAUCUCUGAGCUUAACUCAGAACGGCCAAGUGAUACUGCAGUGCUAGAGUGCAGAAGGGGCAAUCGGAAUUCUUGGUGUAGCGGUGAAAUGCGUAGAUAUCAAGAGGAACACCUGAGGUGAAGACGGGUUGCUGGGCUGACACUGACGCUGAGGAGCGAAAGCCAGGGGAGCAAACGGG
rnacentral:rRNA from 1 species